rnacentral:rRNA from 1 species
UUAAAAUGUUAAUAUUUAAACUAAAGUAGUAUUAGUUAUGUUCUUUAAAUUUAAAGAUUUUGGCGGUAUUUUAGUCUAUUCAGAGGAACCUGUUCUGUAAUUGAUAGUCCACGAUUAACUUUACUUAAAUUUAAAAGUUUGUAUAUCGUUGUUUAUAGAAAAUUUUUUAAGAAAUAUAAUUUUUAAUAAAUUUAAUUAAAUUAUAAAUCAAAUCAAGGUGCAGUUUAUAUUUAAGAAGAAAUGGGUUACAAUAAAAUUAUUUAAACGGAUUUAAAUUUUAAAAAAUUUAAUUAAGGAGGAUUUGAUAGUAAUUUUAUUAAAUUAAAUAAAAUGAUUAUAGCUCUAGAAUAUGU